UGCAAGUCCGGGCAUGGAGCUGGUGAAUGGUGGAGGGUCGGGGGGGUAUCCGGGUUUAUGUGGGUUAAAGGGAGAGUAGGUCGGGGAGUAGGCGUGGUGUGCAAGGUUGAUGCUCAACAUUUGAACUGCAGCGCGAACUGGUUUCCUUGAGUACGCAGAAAGUGGGCGGAAUUCGUGGUGUAGCGGUGAAAUGCUUAGAUAUCACGAAGAACUCCGAUUGCGAAGGCAGCUCACUGGAGCGCAACUGACGCUGAAGCUCGAAAGUGCGGGUAUCGAACAGGAUUAGAUACCCUAGUAGUC
rnacentral:rRNA from 1 species